GAAGACUUUGGUGAUGUGAUCAGAAACUGUUAAUGUCUAUAUUUAAAACUAUGACGAGAUAUUUAAAUAUUUACAUACCUGAAAAGUUCAGAGGUUGAGUGGGGCACAAGUGGGCCGUUAGUGGGCAGUUUGCUUCAUCUGCUCAGACACUUCAGUGGAUGCAGGGAUGCAGACAGACAAAAAUGAAUCCUCUCACUCUAAAGUUUUGUUCUAUGAGCUGAGGUUGGACAUUGCACCAUUUUGAGGAGUAGAAUCUUGGAAGUGAACCCUCACUUCCUGUAAAGCUGAAAACCUUUUACUGUAAAUCCGUUGUUACACAUUGUGCAUCAAACCUCAUCACAGAAGAACCAUCACAGACCUUUGAUCUUCCCCGUCCUCCCGUCAAACCGAGUUGCCCCCCUCUUUCUGAAUGAUAUCUUACUCAUUCACACAUGUUUAUACAAACCCUCCCUUCAUCACGUCUCAAUGAAACACUCUGUUUUGACUGGAAAUACUUGACAUUAAGAAAGAAAGGCACACUUGAAAAGCAGUUUCAUUGGAAGUUGAAGCUCUCAGCCUGUCUUCCUUUCUCUCACUCUGUCACUCUCUCACAGCUCACAGCCUGCCUUCUGCUUCCUCUGGGGAUAAACACACUUGUUAGUUCUUCUUUUUCCUCUCACUCUUCUUCUGCUGCCCUUUCAUCUCUUAGCCCUUUAUCUCAAUUUCUUCCUUAUUUGUCCGUUAUCAGAAAUUAUCUUGCAGCAAGAAACAAAAGAACAACUGCAGGUGGAAACAAAGCAAACGAGUCAGGAGAAAUUUGGUUUAGUAACGAGUUCAUUUGUGCAGUGUACAGACUUAUGUACGUGUGGCAACAAAAACGUGAUGAGAUCCAACUUUAUAAUUUUGUAGAAAUAACAACUAAUUUAAAGAUAUGAACAGUUGUAAACAACAGGAAACAAAUACAGAGGAGACUGAAAGCAGCCUUGAAUUCACUUUUUCACUCUCUGCCACUUUCAGGAAGUCUGCCACUUAGAUGUUUGUCGCUUUUCCUGUCACGUGACCUUCCGUCCGACAACACAAACAGCAGCCGUGCAGACACAACGCCAUCCAAGGUUUGACAACCUGCAGGCUGCACAGAGAGCUUCAUCCUGGCUGCAGGCUGACGUUUGUCAGACAGAAAGAGAAAGAAAGAAAAAACUUUCCCUGUCUGUUGAUCGUCUCGUCUCUUAAUUGCACUACAAGUGAGAAGUAAGUACGAAAUUAAAUUCUGUCAUGCAUUUUUUGCCCGUCUCAGCCCAGUGCUGUGGCACAAUCCACCUCUCCGUGGUCUGCUCUGUGCUCUCAGUGUGUUCCAAACACUCACAUUUUUGAACCAAAAUAAGGCUAAAUGUGUGCACAGCAGCUCUGCCUUGGUGGUACCUAAGGCUCGAUUUGAAAAAGUGCAUCUAAGAACAAUAGGAAGUCUGUGGAGGUAUGGUUUGUUUUUUUCAUCAUGUCCCUCCUCUGUCUCUCCGUCACACACCCUGAUGUCCAUGCCAGCAGCUGGUUCUGUUCUGUUAGAUGUGAAUGACAAUUUAAACAGCUAGCCAAAGCCUGACUCUUAGAGCUGACGUUUUUAUACAACAUUAAUUUGCUACAAUAAACCGAUUUUGCGAGAAACAAGCUAAUUCUGGUUCUUUGUGCGCCGACCAUCCAGCUUGACCAGUUACAUUCCUCAUCACAACACAACAUAUGCACUGCAUAGUUUAAAUGGUUAAAUAACUCCCAGGAGGCAGGGAUAUUUGUACAAAAAAACACAUGUUACACAAAAGGAAGUUGAGAUGGACAAACACUGCAGAAGUGGUUUGACAAGUUGCUAUAGGUGACUUUUUGUUUUCCAGGACAGUGUAACAGAGCCAGGAGCUGGGGAGUAUUUGUGGUUUAAUAUUCCUUUAAUUUUAAAACAUUUUGGAAUCAGUUUUCCUGCUGUAUAAAUGAAACAUUAUAGAAGUGACUAGUAUCAUAUAAAUAUGUUUUUUUUAUUGUAUUGUAUGCCACAGACGUGAUGUCCACCGGGACGAAACAAAAAAGAUGUUAAAGAUGAGGUUUGCCUGAAUAUAAAUGAAUAUUUAUAAGGUGAGAGUGUUUCCACUGUUCUUCCUGUCUUGCAUCAUGCCAAACACUCACCAGGCAACUUGGCAAAACUCUAAAAACACUGACUGUUUUUAAUGCCUUGACUCAGCUCAGUGUUCAUUAAUGCCAAUUGACUUUACAACUUUACUGCACAGCAAAACCAGAAAUUCUCCUUUGGCAUCACCAGAUACAAUAAAACAGGUCAUCACAACAACACAGUAAAUCUCUUCGUAGUCAUCUGUCAUCCUCACAGCAAUCUUAAACAUCUUAAACAUAGGCAUCAUGCAUUCCUAGAGCAAUACAUCACACACAGACCGAGAAUGGAAAAAAACAAAAGUGAAGUCAGUUUAGCGGUUUCUAAAACCAGAGAAUCACCAUGUAGGUGGCUGAAGAACAAGUUGGCUUUACUCGGUAAAGUUUCUCUGCUGUUUUUCUCUUUGUCAUCUUUUUCUCUGGGAGGAUUAAGAUGAAGUCCGAAGCAGCAGAGAACAGAGUAACUACAGCAUGUGUAGCAUUGGAGCUAUCAGCAGGUUCAUCCACCUCAAUGUGUGAUCAAAAAUAAAACUUACAACGGUUUAUGCAUCCUCUACAUAAUUUUAUCAUAUUAUUGUAUUAAAUGAUAUUUGAUUAGCCAAAACACUUAACUUACACACAUUUCCAUACCUGUGUCAAUACAAAUCAACAGCCAACACAGUAUAUAUACAGCCAUAUACAGCAAUCAGCCACAACAUUAAAGCCACUGACGGGUGAAGUGAAUAACAUUAAUCAUAUGUUUACAAUGUGGUGUUGUGCGGGGAAACAUUUGCUUCUGGCCGUCUUGUGGAUGUUCUUUGACACACAACAACCCACCCACACAUUGCACACCAAAUGUUCUCUCUCAGAUAUGGUGGGCUCUGUGGCCACACCUCUGUGACCCCUCCUCUCAUCAGUUUUGUCAGGAGGCUGGCUAGCUCAUCCUCAUUUUUCCUGCAUUCAAAGCAUCAGUAUUAUGUGAAUGAAACAACAUGGCUGAGAAAUGCACAGCUGCUGAUGACUCAUUCGUAACAAAUGUACAGCACACUAGAGUCCCAACAAGUACUGGCUAUUUCAGUGUCCAAAUGUCCAUAUAUAUCAGUGCAGAGUGGGUCAACAUGGUCUGUCAUCCGACUGUAUGUUCACUGCAGUUUCUCGUCUGUGUCCAGUGGUUUAAUAGUGUCUCCUCUGCACUUCAUUUUAUUCUGAUUUGCAUAAGAGCAAACAAAAGGUAAACAAGGGUCAGCCUCCACUGCACCGAGUAGGUUUGCAUCCAAGUGUGUGAUUGGACAUCGUCAACCAUAAUUUGCAUGAAAGCACAUGUUUAAUCAAGUACUGACUGUCCAUGGCAUCUGUGAGGGACUGUCCACAAAUUAGUGACCAGUGGCUGCAGGGUAAAAAGGAAAAACAUACCCAGUUAUGUUUUGGAGCAAAUGUGGCUCUUAAAUGAUGCCUGGGACAACAAGCAGAAGCUCCUCAGAUGAAGCACAUGAGUGAAAAUAUGUAACAUUAGUUAAGUAUGUUGUUGGCAUUAAACGUUACAUUGUGUGCACUCCAACAUGUUGCAUUACAGAUGAAAACUGCACCAGUUUGCACAAAAAUGAAAAACAUGCUUUGUGAAAUGUGUAGAUUAAAAAAAAAAUUAUGAUGUGCGUUGACACAAUGUCCUCGUGUCUAUACUUUAAUCAUGUAUGUGGAUGUUUCUUUAAUUUUCCCAGGCCACAAUGAAAUGUGACAAAUUACAGCAACUGCCUCACUGUCAGUUUAUUUACCAUGUGACCGUGGCAAGGUUCUGUCUCAGUUCCUCAUAAGGAAACUAACUUUCAUUUAGAACAUUGCUUUUAAGUUUUGAAGUGAGUCUAAAUCUCUAUUUCUCAGUUUUAUCAACCAUGUGACUAAUGAGGGAGGAUGAUGAUGAUUGCAUUCCUGAUUCAUUCUGGUCAUAAAAUGUAGGAACUGACCGACUUCUCUGUGUAAACAGGUUUUGAAACAGUUCAUUUUAAGUUGGUCAGAGGAGAGAAUAAACAGGUUCAGGGCAAGUUUAAAGAGCGUCAGAGUGUUUUCAGAGGGAUUCAGAGGCAAAACUGGAAUAUAAUGUUUGUAAUGUUUGCAGAAUGAGUUGUUUGUAUUUACAGUGGAAGCGGAUCCACUUCCAAGGCCUCCUCAUAUGUGAAGCAGCAGUAUGAAUGCAGUGUAUUCGUCACCGAACUGGAGGUACUGUUCAAUAAAAACUGGUCUUCACAACAAAACACAAAUGUGUUCCAUGGUAGGAGGAUUUACACACAAUGAAAAGAAGAACUUUCAUUUCGCAAAACACCAGGCCAUUUACAUUGUUGUGCAUUCCUAUGGGAAAAUACUAAUACCAUGCCAGCACACUUUGCAGUUGUUUGCUGUUGAACGUGCACACGAAGCUGCUUUGCCUUGGCACAAAUAUCCCCACUCUUACUAAAGAACAUCACCUUUGGACAUCACUUAUCUGUUUCCUCUUACUACUAUGGUGUCACAACCAAUUGGACAAUACUGUAACGAUGUGAAACAUCUCCAGCUAGCACCUUAAUCUUUCCUGUCUCAUCGCUGUGCAGAUGCAUAAAACAAAACUGCUUCCGCAGGUUUCAGUUUACAAAGAUGAACGUGUGCAGCUGCACCACAGCAGAACACUUCAGGCCUUAAGUGCUUCUGUGUUAUCCAGACCAGACCACCUCAUUUGAUAGGAAAGUAAGCAGGAUGUUUGAUUCCUUGGAGCAGGCUUCAGUGGCUGCACUGAGUCAUUUGGAUGAUGCAAAGUUGCUUUUAGCAACGUGAGCGUGCAUGUGACUGUUUGUGUCAUUGAUUUUUUUUCCACUGGUUGUGUUUGUGUGGAUGAGUCUGUGUGUUUGCAUGUGUGCAUGUUUUUGUGUAUGCUUAUCUUAAACAAAUUUGGUCCUUGGUGAUUAUAUAACAGGCUUAGAAACAACCCUACAGCAUAGAAAACUAAAACCUAAAACUGCCAGUCUAUUAGGAUCUACUGCAGAUAAUGUACCUUUUCAAAGCAUUAUCAGAUUAUAAUGUCAGUAUCUGUGUUCAUGCUGACAGGAAAUCCUCACCAGGUGGCUGACUGAAGGUUAUUGAUUUCUGUUUAUAAACAAAGAUAUCAUAUCUGUUUCGGGCUCAAAUGAAGAACUUAACCUCACCCACAUCCUGUGUCAGGUACCGAUACAGGGUGAUUUAGUUGGUUGAACAGAUGCAGAAAAUGAUGCACUCGAUUAAGAAGCUGUGACUUAUAGAGUUGAACACUGAUCAGUUUACAUCAGAAGACACCUGCCGUCGAUGGUGUCUGACUCUGAUAAUUCAGGCAGCAGAGUAAUUCAGAGUUCAAAACGGCAAAUCUGUCAAGCACUGGAAUGCAACUGAACCUGGCAACUUUAUUACUUGAUUACAUGGCAGCCAAACAGAUUGCUCUCAUCACAGUGUUUUAAUGAGGAUGAUUAGCAUCCGGUGUUCACCAGACUUUCAUUGGAAACUGGAGCCUUGACGGAAACAUGAAGGAGCCGUGGUGCAGCUCGAGCAGUGGGCAUCUCAUACGGAAUCUGCAUCUCGUGGUCCCUUAAACCUCGACAAACCUGAUCGUGAUUGGAGAAUGUAUGGCAUGAAGCCAGCACUUUAACAUUCAUCAUCAUAAACAGCCGAUCAGCCAAACUGGUUGUGCUGACUUCCAGGAAUGUCAGUAAAUACUGGCCCAUGCAUAUCAUCUGCAGAUGAAUUGAGUACGCAGGGAGAUCAUGGUUUUCACUCCAGCUCCGCUCAAAUGCACACAAUUCCUGUACUGGAUUCCCACGCAGGAACAAAGCCAGGUGUGUUUGCUGAGGUGCUGAGACCUCCUGUUCUGCCAGCUGGACGUGAAUUUAGGCUGACUGUGAGUCACAGCCACACACAACUCACAGCUGCUGGGAUGAGAGAACUCAGUCCAGAAUGUGUUUCUCUAAAUCACUAAAAGGAUCUACAAAAUGUCUCAUGUCACUGUUAGGAAUCCUCCUAAAUGGCACAAAAAGUUCUCAACAAGGCGUCUCUUCAUGGUUUUACCACAAACCCGCUGAAAGCGACUUUUGAAAGCACCCCGAACCUGACAGGGUCUCACUGGUCUAGUCUUAGGGUGCAUGAGCUGAUGAAGUCUCUUAGAUGAGUGGAAACAUCUUCAGAGACAUGUGACCAAGUCCAGUUGUGUUCAGUUCAAUCUCUUUGACAUAUGACCUGCAUAAAUGAGAAUCUUCAUUCUUAUUUAUAUGUGGGGACAUGAAAAGGAACUAGACUGAAUGAAAUGAUAAAUCUUUGGAUUAAAAAAUGUAUUUAUGUAACAAAAUGAUUAUGUUAUUCAUUCGUUUUUGUAAUAAGUCCUCCUCCAGUCAGAAAUGUUUCUUCUUGCUCGUACUGAUGGGUGAGUUUCCCAGUGCAGAGUGAUGGAUGUGCAGAGUCUGACAAUAAGAGGCUGUUUUCACAGAAGAAGAAAGGAAACCUACAGGGGGAGAGCAGAGAAGCGUCCCAUUGUAGCUCCUUUUUGAAUUCCUGUCAUGACCCUGACUCUUCGUUGGACUGCUGGCCUGCAGGGGGGCCGUGUGAGGCGUAGCCCGCCAUGCCCGCCCCCGCCGGCCUUUACUGCCGCCAGUCCUCACGGGACUUGUUGAAGACCACUUGGAGAGCGGGGCGAAGACACCUGCUGAGCUUCUGACUUUGCUGUGACACAACAAAGGUGAAAACUGAAGAAACCGACACACCCCUCUCAAGUGGUGUGUGAAGCCACUUGCAGAAAGAGAGAGAGAGAGAGAGACCAGAAGACAUGCCGGCUCCAGCUGGACCUCCACAUGCCCGGGGAGGCCCAGACAUGCCUGAAACGUAAAGAAAGCCCACCGGAGGAGAGACGCUGCGCCUCCUCCCCCUGCAAACAUCCUCAUCAGAGGGCGCAGCCGCUCCUUUUCCCCGGAUGAUCUGCUCACACUUUAGACAGUGUUAGAUUAAAUUCAGGAUUUCCCGUCAACUUAGUUACAAUGGCUGAUCAUUUUAAAUAUUUCUUCUGUUGCUUCCGAAAUCAGCCGCUGAAUGAUGGCUCCCACAGUUAAACCUUUCACCAAAGCUUUCCGGUUUGUUGAUAUUAUUAGGUGGACUAUAAUUACACCACCAGACGAAUACUCAGAGGUUUGUGUAAUAAUUCUUAUUAAUGCCGUAUUUAAUAUUUGAGAAAGGUUUUUCCCUCCGUGAAGUAGUAGACAUUUUGUGUACAGCGGUUAAACUAAAAAUGAAUAAAAAUGAUAAAUAAAAUGUAAAAUGAUAAAUAUUUGCAUAUUCAGAUAUUCUUCAAGUUUUGAUGAAAGAAAAGGACUCAGGGCUGUUUCAGGUGUUGCGUUUUAAUUGUUAUUAAACAUGUAAAUAAAAAAAUAAACAAUAUAUUUAACCACAUGAGAUUAGAAAUAAUUUAAAAGUUGCAUUAAAUUAAACUCACACAAAAUCCUAAUUAAACUUCAUUACUGAUGUGAUGUCAUAAAUUUUGGACAGACAAGCCACUUAUUUUUCCCUUAACUCAGACUAACAAGAGCUACGUUUUAGCCUUGGGAUGUUUUGUCAGUUGAUCAGGGACUUCAGAGUUUGUUCUGCAAGAGGCAACACGUCAGGUUUGUAUUAGCCCUUCACCCUAAAGCUAACCUCUAAGGCAUAAGAGAUGUUACAUAACGGCCGGUUCGUUUCAAAGGCUGCCACUCACACACUGUUUUCUGAAACUUUGUAUGACAAGUAGAGGACGCUCCCCAUGACUGUGACCAACAAGUACUUUACUAAUACUUAAGAUGUACUACUCGUCUCUGUUGGUUGUUCCUGCUGCUUUUGUUUGUCACUUGAGCCUGAUGUAACUGCAACGACGUGGUUUACGACAACAUCAUCGGCCCCUUCGCGAAUCUCAUGUGCAAGAUUUGGUGUUGGUUUAGCCAGCAGAGCAUCUGCUCUCAGCAAAUAAAAGCAAAUGACAACAAUCAGGCGAAUUUCAGAGUGUUUAAGUCUGAGAAAGCAAACGAUUCAGAUUGUACAAGCUGCCACAGACCCUCACUGCAGUGAG